UCGGGAAUUUUGGGCAAUGGGCGAAAGCCUGACCCAGCAACGCCGCGUGAAGGAUGAAGUAUUUCGGUAUGUAAACUUCGAAAGAAUGGGAAGAAUCAAUGACGGUACCAUUUAUAAGCUCCGGCUAACUACGUGCCAGCAGCCGCGGUAAUACGUAGGGAGCAAGCGUUGUUCGGAUUUACUGGGCGUAAAGGGCGCGUAGGCGGCAUGACAAGUCACUUGUGAAAUCUCCGGGCUUAACUCGGAACGGCCAAGUGAUACUGUCGCGCUAGAGUGCGGAAGGGGCAAUCGGAAUUCUUGGUGUAGCGGUGAAAUGCGUAGAUAUCAAGAGGAACACCUGAGGUGAAGACGGGUUGCUGGGCCGACACUGACGCUGAGGCGCGAAAGCCAGGGGAGCAAACG
rnacentral:rRNA from 1 species